GAUGAACGCUGGCGGCGUGCCUAAUACAUGCAAGUCGAGCGAACAGACGAGGAGCUUGCUCCUCUGACGUUAGCGGCGGACGGGUGAGUAACACGUGGAUAACCUACCUAUAAGACUGGGAUAACUUUGGGAAACCGGAGCUAAUACCGGAUAAUAUAUUGAACCGCAUGGUUCAAUAGUGAAAGACGGUUUUGCUGUCACUUAUAGAUGGAUCCGCGCCGCAUUAGCUAGUUGGUAAGGUAACGGCUUACCAAGGCAACGAUGCGUAGCCGACCUGAGAGGGUGAUCGGCCACACUGGAACUGAGACACGGUCCAGACUCCUACGGGAGGCAGCAGUAGGGAAUCUUCCGCAAUGGGCGAAAGCCUGACGGAGCAACGCCGCGUGAGUGAUGAAGGUCUUCGGAUCGUAAAACUCUGUUAUUAGGAAAGAACAAAUGUGUAAGUAACUAUGCACGUCUUGACGGUACCUAAUCAGAAAGCCACGGCUAACUACGUG
rnacentral:rRNA from 1 species